rnacentral:rRNA from 1 species
GUCGUAGGAGACGACUACGUUGAUAGGUCAUAGGUGUAGAGGCAGUAAUGUCUUAGCCGAGUGAUACUAAUUACCCGUAAGCCUAUCGU